CAUGACACCCUUUGUCCCUCACAUCUCCCUCUUGAUCUCCUUUGCACGCCGCAGAUCGUCCCCAAGGAGAAUUGCUGCUGCCUCGUCGACCCGUUGUCCUCGCAGCGAUGUCAUCACCACCGGCUACCGCUGACCCACACCAAACAGCAAGUUGCCUCAACCGUCAGUGUCCCUAUCGUCACCAUUCUGCUACUGGCUGCCAUCAACUUGAUCAUCAGCUGCUAUAAUUUCCCAAUGUUCUCUUGUGAUGCUUGUAUCGAUUGUUUGCUGACGUUAGAAGUGGAGCUACAUGAGGAGUAUAUCUUUGAGAAGUGGAACCAUCGGCAAGUGUUUUGGAAGGCAAGUGUAAC